GGUGGGUCUGUUUCUAGUGCAUGUGUUUUCUCAGCGCGUCAUUCAUGACUAGAUCCAUACUCAUCUA
rnacentral:pre_miRNA from 1 species